rnacentral:rRNA from 1 species
GACGAACGCUGGCGGCGUGCUUAACACAUGCAAGUCGAACGAGACGAUUGAAAGCUUGCUUUCGAAAGUCGAGUGGCAAACGGGUGAGUAACGCGUAGACAACCUGCCUUUGAGAUGGGGACAACAGUUCGAAAGGACUGCUAAUACCGAAUGUUGUAUAUUUUCCACAUGGAAGAUAUAUUAAAGAUGGCCUCUAUUUAUAAGCUAUCGCUCAAAGAUGGGUCUGCGUCUGAUUAGCUGGUUGGUGGGGUAACGGCCUACCAAGGCGAUGAUCCGUAGACGGGCUGAGAGGAUGAACGGCCACAUUGGGACUGCGACACGGCCCAGACGCCUACGGGAGGCAGCAGUGGGGAAUCUUCCACAAUGGAGGAAAGUCUGAUGGAGCAACGCCGCGUGAGUGAAGAAGGGUUUCGGCUCGUAAAGCUCUGUUGUCGGGGACGAAUGUGCAGUAUUUGAAUAAAGUACUGUAAUGACGGUACCUGACGAGGAAGCCACGGCUAACUACGUGCCAGCAGCCGCCGCGG